CAAGAGAUUUCCUCUCAGUCUUUUCUUGAAGCUUUCAAAUGCAGGCUUUAGGCCUAUUGUGAUGCUAAUGGUCUCUCCUCUGCCCUUACUUUGCCCAUUCUGCAUGGAGGGGGCAGCUCUAGUCCCCCAAGCAUGAAAGAAGUUGGGUACUCCCGGUUCUGAUCAUUACUGCCACCAGGAAGAGCUGAAAACAGGGAUAUCUCAUUUAUUGGAGGAAUGACAGUGUGAACAGAGGCAUGGCUGCGUUCUCACCAGCUGAGAUAAACGCCGACCAGACCAGCACAGACAUCCUGUGCUCGUUUCCUUUACUUGGUUUUUCAAAUAAAGCCUUUGUGUAUCACUGGUAUUGUGAGGAAUACGAAAUAAUG
rnacentral:lncRNA from 1 species